UACAGAGGUCCCGAGCGUUGUUCGGAUUCAUUGGGCGUAAAGGGUGCGUAGGCGGUCUGUAAGUUUGAUGUGAAAUCCCGGGGCUCAACCCUGGAAUGGCAUUGAAUACUGGUGGACUAGAGUACUGGAGAGGAAACUGGAAUUUACGGUGUAGCAGUGAAAUGCGUAGAGAUCGUAAGGAAGACCAGUGGCGAAGGCGAGUUUCUGGACAGUAACUGACGCUGAGGCACGAAGGCCAGGGGAGCAAACGGG
rnacentral:rRNA from 1 species